UUUCUGAUACCAGAGGUAAUGAUUAAUAGGGACAACUGGGGGCAUUCGUAUUGCGACGUUAGAGGUGAAAUUCUUGGAUCGUCGCAAGACGGACUAAAGCGAAAGCAUUUGCCAAAGGUGUUUUCAUUAAUCAAGAACGAAAGUUAGAGGUUCGAAGGCGAUUAGAUACCGCUGUAGUUCUAACCAUAAAUGAUGCCAGCCAGCGAUCCGCCGAAGUUUUUUAU
rnacentral:rRNA from 1 species